GGUUCGUUGCGGAGCAACAGGUGCAGGACGACCGUCUUCCAGUGGAAGUCGGUCAACGCGUUUCCCCCCGUGAGGCUCGUCUGCUUCCUGUGUAGGAAGGUGACUACCUGAAGGCAGUGCAGAUGGCAGGAAUGUCGAGGAAAACAAUCCAGCUAUUUGUAAAAAGGACUCCACCCGUCAGAGGGAAGCAGACUAAAUUCAGCAGCGGCAGGCGGUGCGACGCACUCACGCAGGAGAGGAAGGAAGACUGAACAUUAUCCAUUUUUUGUUGUUGUUAUUAUUAUUGAUAACCUUUUCAUGUUUGCAGCAAGGCUACAAUCGUUUUCCCGUGAAUGUCCAAAUGAAGUUAACAGUACCGGACAUCACAAACUGUGAAAUAUUGAUGACGUUCAGGAGAGAAAACGAUAAACAUUGCAAGAGGAAGUUACAUAAGGGCCUUGCGUAGCUUUGCCGCACUUAACUCUGGCGGGGCACCACAGGAAGAAGCCUAUGAUGACGGAAUUAUUAAUAAAGCGUGAAAGAAACUGUAAAA